UAAAUAGUUGACCCGACUUGAAAUUGUUGCUCUCCUAUGGACUCCAGAUUAAAGGGAAUUGUCACUGCCGUUGCCCGGAAAUCAUGCCCGAUAUGCCUCUGCCGGUUACACUAUCGGAGCGCGGCGGUAAUUAUCCCAUGUAUGCACGCCUAUUGCAUCGUUUGCAUCCGCAGAUGGAGCGAUCUGAACAGAAAAUGCCCUCUCUGCAACGCCGACUUUGAUUCAUGGUUUUCCAGAAUCAGCUCCUCAUCCCGGACCUUCCAGAAAGAAAAAUUAUCAGCUCGUAGCGAGACUAAGAAGUUAAACUCAGGUUUUGUCUCCUCUAGGCCUAGAGAUCGAUUGGCGGACCGAAGAGUGAUUAGGAGUAGGAGAGAAGAGUUGAAUACUUUUGGCUCCAGAACGAGGCCGUUUCCAAGACGGCGAUCGUUUGAUCAGAUUGGAGCUUUAAAUCCAGAUGAUAUUACCAGGAGAAUCAUUCUCUGGCGUUCUAGCAUAUAUGAAGAGAGAUUGCAGGCUGUUCCUUUUUCAUCUAAAAAUUGUCUUAUGCAGCACAUGGAUAAUAGGAGUACCAAAGAAAAGAUGUUACAGAGAAUAGAGCCUUGGAUAAGAAGGGAGCUGCAAGCUAUACUGGGGGAUCCAGAUCCAUCCAUUAUUGUCCAUGUUGCUACCUCACUUUUUAUCUCCGAAAAUACACAUUCAACACAGCAGUGCGCAGGAGGUGAUUUUCUUGCUCCACUGCGGCCCUUCUUGCAUGAAUGUACAGAAAUGUUUUGGCAUGAACUAAGCUCAAUCAAUAUUUUGUUGAAGAAAUACUUCUCUAUUCAAGACCAAGUAUCAGAAUUGAACAGACUGCAGUCAAUCUUUGGAGUGGAACAUCUUAUUUUAGUAAAUUGAUUGGCAUAUAGGAAAAGAGUAUCACCUUUGUGCCCUCAAAAGCAGCCAUGGGACCUCUUUGAUAACUUUAAUUGCAAGUAAGGAGAAUCCUAAUUUGUCUGCUUAAAUCUCAUCUUACUGAUCAGCAUCCAUAGAUGCCUCACUUUCACAACUUAAGCUGAGAAUAGGGAUGAUCAAAUCUUCGUUUUGUUAUUGUGGUUAAAGUAAACAAUUCUGAAUUUGAUGUUGUUUUGGCAAAAAAAACUUCUAAAUAACAUCAGAUUUUUUUUUUAAAAUGGAUUAAUUUAGAUUUUUUAAAAUAAUGGUGGUGUGGGGCCUAGCUUGCACACAACUCGACUAUUAUACUGCUUACUUGCUACAUACCACUUGCACACAUGGUACCCUCUGUUUAUCAAUGUUUAGGCAGAAGUGAAGUGAUCAGUAUUUUUUUGUAUUUGCUGGGAUUUGAUUUCUGGUCUCCAGGGUUUGCAUCCACCUCAGUGAUCAGUGCCACACCCUUUUUGUGCUAAGCUAACAUUAGGCUUUGAAUCAUUGUUUUUCUUCAUGCGAUAGAUUUAUAGAUGUGAGAACCAAUUCCGUCAACCAUCUUAGCAAAAGUUUGUGAACAUUGAAGACAGUGGAUCAUGUAUGUGUAGUUCCACCUUUGAAUACUGAGAUGCAUCCAUGAACUAAUUUCUAUAGUUAUCUUAUUACCACCACAGGCAGGAGACUUGGGAUAUAAUCUAAUUAGCUAAUAGAAAGUAAUGUUUGACGUGCUGGUGUUAAACUCAUUGCAUUUAAUUCAUCUCCUAGACAGAAAGGGAGAUGGUCCAUCAAGGUAUAUCUGUCAAGCUAUUUUUCUCUAGAGCCUUUACAGGCAAUAAGCGUUCUAAAUAAACAGUCCUUCCAGGUUAGAGACCGGAAGUGCCAUAUUUACCAGCGAUCUAUUUUGAAUUAGAAACUGCUACCCAGUGUUCUGAAAGGCGCUCGCCUGGCGACUCUGCGUGGCGAGGCGAUGUCUUGUCGCCUUUUCUCUGCGUGGCGAGGCGAGAUCGAAAAGGCGACACGAGGCGACGAAAUGGUGAGAGGCGACCAGGCGUGGCUAGGCGAGAAAGGCGCGCCAUUCGAUUUUUUUUUUAAAAAAAGAACUGAUUUAUUAAUUAAAAGAAAAUUUUAGUUUUUUUUUUGUUAUUUUGGCAAACCUGCUAAGUCGCGACUUAGCUGCAUGCCCGCAUCAGUUUCUUUCUUCUUCUCUAGCUGUCUCGCACAAGUCGAUUGCUCAACUUCGUCUUUCUUCUUCAGCGAUUUCUCAACAGCUUACAGGUGCUUUGCCGAGAGUCCUUUGUCUAUGCAAACAUAUGAUACUGUGGUGGAGUACAAUUCGUUGGACUAAUUCACUUGUACCAAUCGUCAGUAUGGGUUGGCUACAAUCCUGGGGUAACAAUGGAUUGAGAGGGAUAAGAUAGGGUUGCGAUCCAGUGUUGUCAUCUGAUCAUGGCUAUAAGGAUGUUGGAAUCUGAGUUCUUGCGGUGAAUGGAAGAGCAAACCACUAGUUUUUCUUCCUCAAUAGCCAGUUAAGUUGGUUGAAGAGCCCACUAUGCACUGCUUCUUAUGGAUAAGCAUGGAGUCUUGCUUCCUUGGCUUUGGCUAGGCAGGGAUAGCAUUUCUGUUGUGCAUAUUCAUGGUAUCUUUUGUGAAGUCCAAGACACAGGAAAAUGUGCCUUUUGUGAUUAGCAAUCCAUUAUUAGGAGAGGCUGGAGAGAUCGAGAAUGCUUAAGUUAUAUUUCUGCAGAUGUUAAUCAAAGCGUGUCAGGAGUUCCUGGGGAGUUGCUAGUAUUUGGCAGACAAUGCCUAACGACCUUUUUGAGCUUAAUAAGACUGAGAUUACUUGGGAAGAGAUUUUGGUGAUAUUUUGAUCCUGGCCCCUAGAGAGUGAUCCGUAGUGUCCUCUUCUUUGAUAAACUGCCACUAGGCUAUUGCACGUUCUGCAUUAUCUUUUAGCAACAAUUGAAUUAUUAUAAAAAAAAUUAAAAAAUAUUUUGCAUUGUUCUAUUUUAAUUUGUUUGUCUUA